UACGAAGGUGGCAAGCGUUACUCGGAAUUACUAGGCGUAAAGGGCAGGUAGGCGGUUUGAUAAGUCUAUUGUGAAAGCUCCCGGCUUAACCGGGAGAGGUCAACAGAUACUGUCGAACUUGAGUAUGGGAGAGGGUACUGGAAUUCCUGGUGUAGCGGUGAAAUGCGCAGAUAUCAGGAGGAACACCGAUGGCGAAAGCAGGUACCUGGACCAUUACUGACGCUCAGCUGCGAAAGCUAGGGGAGCAAACAGG
rnacentral:rRNA from 1 species